rnacentral:ncRNA from 1 species
UUUAUCAAGAGUGACGGAGGGAACAGACCCUGAGAAGUCCGACAACCUGCUUGAGAAAGUAAGGUGCCAAAUUCUGCGGUAUAACCGAAAGAUGAG